rnacentral:snoRNA from 1 species
GACCUGCAGAUUCCUUACCCAUCAGACUUAAAUGCUUCCCUGAGUGGUUAUAAAAGGAGGGAAAGUAAAAUUGAAACUGACUUAAAUUCUUUUGUGGCACACAAGCCAGUUUCUAACAGCA